AAGUCAACUUCCAGUCAAUGUCGUCAUUCGUGUCAUUUCCAGGAUACAUGCGCGCGAGCCUCAUUGCUCCGAUCACCGUUCCCGCAAGGCGCUGAUUCCAUGGCAAUGGCAAAGCUUCGCUGCCCCAAACCAGAAUUGCGCUUCUCUGUCUGUCUCCUCCUCCUCCUCCUCCUCCUUCUCCUCCAGCUUUCACUUCUCUCAUCAACCUACACUGCACCUGACAAGUACUUCAUCAACUGCGGCUCAGACUCCAACGUCACAGCCGGUGGCGGCCGGAUCUUCGUCGGAGACGAGAAACCCGGUUCCUUGGCCCUCUCCACCGGCAAAAGCAGUUCUGUAAAUGACGCCAGCUCGUCGAGCGCCGCCUCUCCUCUUCUGUAUCAAACGGCAAGAAUCUUCACAACCCCUUCUUCAUACGACCUAGAAAUCGACCAAAACGGCACUUACAUGGUCCGCCUCCAUUUCUACCCUUUUUCAUCUCGCAAGAAUCUCUUCGAUGCCCAAUUCAGCGUUUCGGCUUCCCGGUUCCCUUUGUUAUCGAAUUUCAGCGUACGAAACACUAGUACCUCGCCUGUGAUUAAGGAAUUUCUGCUGCCCAAUAUUAGCGCGGGAAAAUUCAGAAUCUAUUUCACUCCUCAAGAACCACCUCUGGCCUUUGUAAAUGCAAUAGAAGUGUUUGUCGCCCCCGAUGAUUUCAUCCCAGAUUCGGCCACUCAUGUCACUGCUUCAGGGGGAAACAAUAAACUCGGUGGCUUGCUUUCUCAUGCUUUUCACCCAGUUCACAGGAUCAACGUUGGGGGCGAAAUUCUCACGGCUGAUAACGAUACUUUGUGGAGAAAUUGGGUUCCUGAUGAUGAAUAUCUAUUUUCCUCUGAGGCAGCAAAGAACAGUAGGCGCAGUGAUCCGCCCAAUUACCAGGAUGGAGAAGCAGAUAAGUACGAUGCUCCUGAUCUUGUCUAUAAUACUGCUAAAGAAAUGAAUACAAGUUCUGAUAGGGACUACGAUUUUUUCAAUAUAACGUGGCGUUUUGGUGUGGAUAAAAAUGCUAGGCAUCUUGUUCGAGUACAUUUUUGCGACAUAAUAAGCAAAACCCCCAAUGAUACUCAGUUCAAUCUCUACGUUUACAGCAACUUCAGUAAGGUAAUAGAUCCAUAUAAGACGAUUCCCCAGUUGGCGGCUCCUUUUUACUAUGAUUUGGUGGUUGAGUCUGAUAAUUCUGGCUUUAUGAACAUAAGUGUUGGCCCUCGGCAUGAUACGCAUGUUCAAACAGCCUUUCUGAAUGGGCUAGAGAUCAUGGAGCUUAUACAGGAAUCAGGAUCGGUGCCUGAUGAAAACGAGUCAUCGAAGAACUAUUUGCUUGUCAUAGUUGGUUCUGUGGUUGGAGGUGUGGCUCUUCUGAUCUCAUUGGCGGUGGUGUUCUUGUUGUGUUUCAAGUUUAGGAAAGCAAAACCCGUUGAAGAUUCGGAUUGGCAGGCCAUCCCUCUUUUUGGAGGAAUGAGUUCACCUGACGAGACUAGGGAAAGAACUGCCACUGUCUCCCGCUCCCCUUUUUGCAAUCUUAAUCUCGGGUUGAAGCUAUCUUUUGCAGACAUUCAGUAUGCAACUAAUAAUUUUGACAUGAAGUUGUUGAUUGGUGAGGGUGGAUUUGGGAAAGUUUACAAGGGAACUCUCCGAAGUGGUAUAAAAGUGGCUGUCAAACGGAGCCAGCCAGGACAUGGCCAGGGCUUCCCAGAAUUCCAGACAGAGAUCACGGUCUUGUCCAAAAUUCGCCAUCGCCAUCUUGUUUCCUUGAUCGGAUAUUGUGAUGAGAGGUCUGAGAUGAUACUUGUUUACGAGUUCAUGGAGAGGGGGACUUUAAGGGACCAUCUCUAUGGUUCGAAUCGUGACAAUGAGAAAUCAACAGUGAGCUUUGAAUUGUCUUGGAUCCGAAGGCUUGAAAUUUGCAUUGGUGCUGCAAAGGGUCUACAUUAUCUUCACAGCAGUUCAGACAUCUGCAUCAUUCACAGGGAUGUUAAGUCAACAAACAUCUUACUUGAUUUUCAUUUUGUGGCUAAAGUUUCUGAUUUUGGCAUCUCAAGAUUAGGUCCUCUUGAUCAAACCCAUGUCAGCACGGGUGUGAAAGGCAGUUUCGGUUAUCUAGAUCCUGAAUAUUUCAGAUGCCUACAGUUGACUAAGAAGUCGGAUGUAUACUCAUUUGGGGUGGUUCUCCUGGAAGUGCUUUGUGCAAGACGACCCAUUAGUAACUUGCUUCCCGCAGAGGAAAUAAACUUGGCUGAAUGGGGCUUGUCCUGGCAUAAGAAAGGGGAGCUUGAGAAAAUUAUCGAUCCUUUGCUUGUGGGGAAAAUCAAUCCCAACUCGUUGAGAAUGUUUGGUGGAAUAGUGGAGAAGUGUCUGAGGGAGUACGGUGUUGACAGGCCGAGUAUGCAUGAUGUUUUGUGGGAUUUGGAAUAUGCGCUGCAGCUCCAACAGACUGCUAGGAACCGAGAACCUCAUGAAGACAGCACGCCAGACCCUUCAUGGGUGCUCCCGGUGCCUGCAUUUGCUCACCUACCUUCUGAAAGCAUCUCGAUUAGCAACGAUGAGAUACCUAUGGCUGGUUUCUCAGAUUCAAGUCAUCCAAGUGCCAGUGAAGUUUUCUCCCUGAUAAAAAUUGAUGAAGCCAGAUAAUCUUGCAGUAUGAGGUCUGACUUCUGGUCUUCUAAGUAUGUUUGGUAAGGAAUUGCUGGAGUAAUCUUGCAAUACUUUGUCAAAUAGCUUUUGCUUCUUUCUAUGGUUCAGGUUGCGAAUUAGGUGAAACAGCCAGAUGUUCAUGUUUCCCUGAGGCUGAUUCUUCGGCAAUUGUGGAAAAUUAUCUGUGGCAGACAGAUCUAGCUUUCUCAUUAUUUUGGCGCUUGAAGUUAUCUAUCAAGGAUGUAAAGAAGAACACAUGUUCCUCAGAAAAUAUAUAUCUCUAUUGCUGUAUUUUUCAGCUGGAAGAAAAGAAUUUUCCUUUUUACAAUAUGAACUGCCUAGAGGAUGGACAAGAAUUACAUCUACUAAGAAAUCAAUGAGAAAAACAGAGGAAGAAACUGGAAGCGAAUUCCCUAGUGCCCGUUGCCUUUCCUGCUCGGUCCAGAUGCCAACGGGUACAAUUCGUUUCCCCGCAGAAGCCGGCUAUUUGAGUUGCUCAACGAGCCAGAGGGCGCAGCCUGGCCAGCAGACUCAAGUUGAGCCCCACGAACUGAUGAUAAUGAGCCGGCGAUGUCAGACUUGAGCAGCCUGGAAGAAUCAGCCGGAGAUGACAGAGUAAGAACUAGCAGCGUAAUGGCCAUUGCGACAACAAGAGAACGCCGUCUUGCUGUCGAGCAACUGGGAUGAGUAUUGAAUGGUUGGCGUGUGCUGUGAUAUCGGUAUUAAAAAUGUGUUGUCUAUUCACUUUUACACUCAGUAAUUUUUGUUUUGAGUGACCUGAGUAUCACAAUAAGGAUAACUUUUAUCCAUUCAAUUAACAUUUUUGUUCACAAAAAAAUAACAUGGACUAACACAUGCAAGUUAAUUUUUUAAAAAAUGUACAUCUGGGUGGUAGC